GAUGAACGCUGGCGGCGUGCUUAACACAUGCAAGUCGAACGGAAAGGCUCCUGCUUGCAGGGGUACUCGAGUGGCGAACGGGUGAGUAACACGUGGGUGAUCUGCCCUGCACUUCGGGAUAAGCCUGGGAAACUGGGUCUAAUACCGGAUAGGACCACAUUUUGGAUGGUGUGGUGGAAAGUUUUUCGGUGUGGGAUGAGCUCGCGGCCUAUCAGCUUGUUGGUGGGGUAAUGGCCUACCAAGGCGUCGACGGGUAGCCGGCCUGAGAGGGUGUACGGCCACAUUGGGACUGUGAUACGGCCCAGACUCCGACGGGAGGCAGCAGGGGGGAAGAUUGCACAAUGGGCGCAAGCCUGAUGCAGCGACGCCGCGUGGGGGAUGACGGCCUUCGGGUUGUAAACUCCUUUCGCUAGGGAAGAAGCGUUUUUGUGACGGUACCUGGAGAAGAAGCACCGGCUAACUACGUG
rnacentral:rRNA from 1 species